rnacentral:rRNA from 1 species
UACGGAAGGCAGCAGUGGGGAAUAUUGCACAAUGGGCGCAAGCCUGAUGCAGCCAUGCCGCGUGUAUGAAAAAGGCCUUCGGGUUGUAAAGUACUUUCAGUCGUGAGGAAGGUGUUAAGGUUAAUAACCUUAGCAAUUGACGUUAGCGACAGAAGAAGCACCGGCUAACUCCGUGCCAGCAGCCGCGGUAAUACGGAGGGUGCGAGCGUUAAUCGGAAUUACUGGGCGUAAAGGGCACGCAGGCGGUUAAUUAAGUUGGAUGUGAAAUCCCCGGGCUUAACCCGGGAAUGGCAUUCAAGACUGGUUAGCUAGAGUCUUGUAGAGGGGGGUAGAAUUCCAUGUGUAGCGGUGAAAUGCGUAGAGAUGUGGAGGGAAUACCGGGUGGCGGAAGGCGGCCCCCUGGACAAAGACUGACGCUCAUGUGCGAAAGCGUGGGGAGCAAACAGGGAUUAGAUACC